UAGGGAAUCUUCCACAAUGGGCGCAAGCCUGAUGGAGCAACGCCGCGUGUGUGAUGAAGGGUUUCGGCUCGUAAAACACUGUUGUAAGAGAAGAAUGACAUUGAGAGUAACUGUUCAAUGUGUGACGGUAUCUUACCAGAAAGGAACGGCUAAAUACGUGACAG
rnacentral:rRNA from 1 species